CUGGGGACCCACAGCCAGGUGAUAGCAGAGGUGGUUUGAAGCCCAGGCCUCCCACGCCAACCCACUGGUCUUGCUGUUUCAGCAGGGAAGGCCGGGAGCCCUAGGAGCUGGGGAAAGGCGACUGCCCGGGUCCUGGGUGACUCCCCACCCCCAGAUCCCCAGCUGUCAUCACUGGGGCAAGGACACAUUAAACUGGUCCCUGUGGGUCAGGAACAGGGCUGGCUUCCCCGCCUCAGAUGGAAGAAGUGGACUUGGCUGUGAGCUCCAGGAGGGCAGGGCUCAGCCAUAGCCCCUACCCUAGGAUGUGGCCUGGCCACAGGCACCCACUACUUUUUUUUUUUUUUUUUUGAGACGGAGUCUCACUCUGUCACCCAGGCUGGAGUGCAGAGGCGCAAUCUUGGCUCGCUGCAAUCUCCGCCUCCCAGGUUCAAGCAAUUCUCCUCCUCAGCCUCCCAAGUAGCUGGGAUUACAGGUGUGUGCCACCACAUCUGGCUAAUUUUUUUUUUUUUUUUUUUUUUUUUUAGUAGAUACGGGGUUUCAUCAUGUUGGUAAGGCUGGUCUUGAACUCCUGACCUCAAGUGAUCCACUCGCCUCGGUCUCCCAAAGUGCUGGGAUUACAGGUGUGAGCCACUGCGCCCAGCAAAGAAAUACCUUUUUUUUUUUUUUUUUUUUCCUGAGACAGAGUUGUGCUCUGUUGCCUAGGCUAGAGUGCAGUGGCACGAUCUCGGCACACCGCAACCUUCGCCUCCCAGGUUCAAGUGAUUCUCCUGCCUAAGCGUCCUGAGUAGCUGGGAUUACAGGCACCUGCCACCAUGCUCAGCUAAUUUUUAAAAAAUAUUUUUAGUAGAGACAGGGUUUCGCCAUGUUGGCCAGGCUAGUCUCGAACUCCUGACCUCAGGUGAUCUGCCUGCCUCGGCCUCCCAAAGUGCUGGGAUUACCGGCGUGAGCCACCAUGCCUGGCCUUACAUUUUUUAAAAUGAGGGAACAAAUGAAUAAAUGACCACCAUGUUAGGGGCUGGCUCUGAACAGAAUUGUAAAGUGGGCCAAGCUUGCUCUCAAGGUCACCUUAAGCCCACGGUUGCUGUGUCCUGCCCUCUCAGGGUCAUUUCCCAGCCUCCAGGCACCUGUUCACAGAGGCUGCAUCUGGCCUCGCCUCCACCCCUCCAUCCUAAGGUGCUCCGCUGACUUAGAACAGGACAGUCAGGGAGAGAAUGUGUCUCAGGAGGGUGGAGUCAGAUGAUCACGGCCUUCCUGGCAUCUGAGGGGAUACAGCUUCGGGUAGCAAAGUGUGAUUUUCCCUGAGCCCCAGGAAAGCUUGGCCUUGGUCAGAAUACAUUGAACCCUGAGGGCCAGAGAGUCCCUGGGGCAAGCUCUGAGAGGGAGGCCUGGGACAGGGCAGGGCGGGGGGUUGGGGGGGAAGCUGGGGGUUGGGCACUCAGUGACUGGGGUUCUGGGCGGGGCAGUGCUCGGGGUCCGGAAAGGGUGUUUUCCUGAUGGCCAGCCAGAAGCCCUCAGGAGCCUCCAGCUGUGCGGUGAGAGGGAGGAUGGAGCAGCCGGCAGGAGUGGCCGCCUCUUCCUGCUUGGGGAGCAGAAGGGCCUCCCAUGCCCUGAUGGUCAGGACCUGCCCCCUUACCUCCCCGCAACUGGGGGCCUGGAC
rnacentral:lncRNA from 1 species